CGCGGCCUAUCAGCUUGUUGGUGAGGUAACGGCUCACCAAGGCAUCGACGGGUAGCUGGUCUGAGAGGACGAUCCGCCACACUGGGACUGAGACACGGCCCAGACUCCUACGGGAGGCAGCAGUAGGGAAUCUUGCGCAAUGGGCGAAAGCCUGACGCAGCAACGCCGCGUGGGGGAUGAAUGCCUUCGGGUUGUAAACCCCUUUCAGCAGGGACGAAAAUGACGGUACCUGCAGAAGAAGCUCCGGCCAACUACGUGCCAGCAGCCGCGGUAAUACGUAGGGAGCGAGCGUUGUCCGGAAUUAUUGGGCGUAAAGAGCUCGUAGGCGGUUCAGUAAGUCGGGUGUGAAAACUCAAGGCUCAACCUUGAGACGCCACUCGAUACUGCUGUGACUUGAGUCCGGUAGAGGAGUGUGGAAUUCCUGGUGUAGCGGUGAAAUGCGCAGAUAUCAGGAGGAACACCAGCGGCGAAGGCGGCACUCUGGGCCGGUACUGACGCUGAGGAGCGAAAGCAUGGGGAGCAAACAGGAUUAGAUACCCUGGUAGUCCAUGCCGUAAACGUUGGGCACUAGGUAUGGGAUCAUAUCAACGGAUUCCGUGCCGUAGCUAACGCAUUAAGUGCCCCGCCUGGGGAGUACGG
rnacentral:rRNA from 1 species